rnacentral:rRNA from 1 species
GAUGAACGCUGGCGGCGUGCCUAAUACAUGCAAGUCGAGCGAACAGACGAGGAGCUUGCUCCUCUGACGUUAGCGGCGGACGGGUGAGUAACACGUGUAUAACCUACUUAUAAGACUGGGAUAACUUCGGGAAACCGGAGCUAAUACCGGAUAAUAUAUUGAUCCGCAUGGGUCAUUAGUGAGAGACGGCUUUGCGGUCACUAAUAGAUGGAUCCGCGCCGCAUGAGCUAGUUGGGAAGGUCAAGGCUUACCAAGGCAACGAUGCGUAGCCGACCGGCGGGGGUGAUAGGCCACACGGGAACGUAGACGCGGUCCAGACGCCUGAGGGAGGGAGCAGUAGGGAAUCGUCCGCAGUGGGCGAGAGCUUGGCGGAGCAACGCGGCGUGAGUGGUGGAGAUCUUCGGUGCGUGAUACUCUGUUUUGAGGGAAGAACAAAUGUGUAAGGAACCAUGCACGUCUUGACGGUACCUAGUCAAGAAGCAACGGCUAACUACGUG